GCCCGAUUAACUCAGUUGGUUAGAGUGUCAGACUUUUAAUCUGAAAGUCACGAGUUCGACCCUCGUAUCGGGCG
rnacentral:tRNA from 1 species